rnacentral:lncRNA from 1 species
AGUGCUCUGCACUACAGCGGCUAUUGCAUACCACUGCCCCUGGGUCUGCUGAGAUUCUGAGUCCCAGGAGGCAGCUGACUGAACUGCCUGAAUGUCACUCUUAUUAACUGAAAAAUGGGGACCCCCAUCUCCUGACACCCAAGAGAACAGAUGUCAGAGGUCUCUUCCCCACCAGGUUCACCAACCAGUUUCUGCUGACACACCAGAACACAAUGGCAGUUGUUUCCUUAUCUUCUCGCUGGCCGCCAUAUUGUCUGCACGGCUGAUCGUCUUCCAGUUUAUCUACUUUACAAACCCAAGGUGCACCCCCGGGACCCUGCCUGUCUUGCUGCAAUGCCCAAGAACAUUGCUCCUCGGGUCGGCUCUGGAAUCUGCACUAGAGCAUUUGGCUGGUUCAUGAAGUGGAGUGAACACUGAUGGGGACGUUAUCAAUGUAGAAGGCUUCACCUGCCCCUCAGAGGUCACCUAAUGUUUAAUCACCUUUUACAUUUAUGAGGCUGUAACAAGUCCUGCGCUGGACAUUCUACUUGGGAAACCUGGGAAGAUGCAAAGAAAGGAAGAAGUCCCGCUGCAGAAGAGAGGAAAGGAGCCGAGGGAAGCCACAGCAGGUGCACACACACGUACACGCCUGCACACCACGGGGACAGCCAGCUAGCCCUUGUGAGCCGAUGCACCAUCCACCAGGCCCGGGGUUUCAGAUCACAGACAAGCCCAAGGCUCUGAACAGAUACAGCCGAGAGGAUGUGGCUCCACGGCGCAUGGUGGCCAGGUAUCCACAUUAGACCGGUAACCACUCAGCACAGGACUACGCUGGUGUAAUCAGGAGGAUUCAUUCAGGCAAACUCCCCUGACCAGCAGGCCAGCCCAGCGCAGGUGCUCCUCGCAGUGAGAGGGACACCUUGACAACGAGAAGCACUCUCUCCCCAGCUGUGCUCGGUGACAGGCUUCUCAACAGUCACACAGUGCUCCGGGCAGAUCCUGAAGGAAGCCCAGCAGGCUACUUAGACCAAAGGAAGCGGCCACUUGCUCCUCCCUCUUGGAUGCCUCCUCCCUCAGUCUCAACCUGCCACUCCAUCUAUGUGACCUUGGACAGAGCGGCCCUCUUCUAUGUAAUCUGUCACAUGGAUUCCUAACCUGACUAUGUUGUGGACAAACAGCCUGAAAUUCUCCAGGAGAGCACGGUCCCUCAGGCAAGUGAUGUCAUGUCAUUCUCUUGGCUACCUUUCCUGAGCACCAAAGGACAAUGAAUGACCCAGGGAACACGUGUCACCUGUGUUCCUUACCAUUACCUGCUGGGAAUCAGUAUAAACUCAGGCCGCUGAGAGCCAAGACACCUGCCUCCUUCUGCACCUUGCUCCGGGUCCUUAGCAUGCAUGGGAAGGAGCCUCCAUAGGUCCACGUCAUAGGUGAGACCCUUCAGAAUGCUCUGAUGGUGAGACUGAGACCUAUCAACCUUCACACCUGUGACAUAAAAACCUGUGUACACCCUAUCAGGGUGAUAGUGCACAUACAAGCCACCCUCAUAGACCUUCUCCUGUCCAGCAUCCCUAGAGGUGGAGACAGAAGCCAAGGCAAGGGAGGUGUGAUUAUCAAAGGCCACCCACCUCCAGUGCUCAGCUUCCUGGCCAUGUUUGAUAGUUUCCUUUUGGUUGUUGUUUUGGGGGUUUGUUUUUCAAGAUAGAGGAGCUUUGUUUGUUUUUCAAGAUAGAAUUUCUCUGUAUAGCCCUGGCUGUCCUGAACUUUCUCUGCAAAUCAAGCUGGUGUUGAACUCAUUAAAAAAAGGACAUAUGUACAACCUGGUGGUGCUGAAGAUAUGAUGCUGAGUGACAAAGAAGCCAGGCACAAAAGGUCACACAUCAUGUGCUUCUUUUUACAGAACAUGUCCAGAGUGUAGACUUCCAAAGUGUCUCCCCCUCUGAAUGCCGCCAUGCUUCAUCACAUGACCUUCCCUGGAGGAAUGGAAAGAGAAGAGGCAUCUAUUCUGCCCACACAGAGAGGGCACCAAUGGAACGAUUCCACACAGCCCAGCCUGGUGUCCUAAAGCAAUCACUGGGGUGAUUCACAAGAUCGUGGAUGAUUCAAAGGCAGCUCCACCAGUGAGAAGCCCACUGGGCACCAAUACCACUGAAGAGUCGACUACACCUGCUGCAUGGACAACUCAACAAAAGAUGUGCCACUGAAGGCAGUCUCACUGUGCAGUGAACAGCAGCAACCCCACCCAAGAACACUACCUCCUGAAUUAGCCUUCCGAUGGGGAGGGAGCAGUGAGGAGCCCUGAAGGCUGUGAGCAGCAGCAGCAGCAGCAGCAGCAGCAGCAGCAGCAGCAGCACACCAUGGGUCUGCCCCCUCCCAGAGGAUGUGAAUAGAUUCCUGUCACCGAUGUUGCUAUCCUGACGCUACUGAGCUGGACUGCUGGUGUACCCUCAAGCUGGAUGGAGCUGCCACCGCCUGCCAACCUGUGAACUGAACUGCCAAUUUCCAGACAACACAGAUGGGAGUUGCUCCAAAGAACUUUUCUAAACAGGCCCACUUCCCCUGUAUCUUCCUUUUCCACUACCUCUGGUGGGUGGUUGGCUACAAGGGAGGUUAAAGCAUUUUAAAAACCAUCAUUAAAAAUAAGAUUUUAAAAAAUUAAAGUUACAGUGACCCAUUGGCUCAAAACUACCUGCAACUCUGCUCCCAAUGCCCUCUUUUGGCCUCCUCGGGCACAGGACACACAUGGCAUAUGUCCAUACAGACAGACACACAUAAACAUAAGUAAAAAUAGCUUGGUUUGUGUUUGUUUUUUUUUUUUUAAAGAGAAUGCUGCCAGGAACCUAACCCUUUACUCUCCUAAGCAAAGGUUCAACGUCCGCCAGUUUAGGGACCAGUGUGACUUUGGACAACAAAAGUACUUUGACUAGGACAUCUCAACUGUCCAGGGACGGGGUGGCAGAGGGAGGUGACUCCAGAAGAAAGCUGUGUGGACCGGGCAGGACUUCAGGAAGGAGCAGGCACUGUGGCACUUCUUUGUCAACGUUGUCAUUUCCCAAGGUUGUAGCUUGGGGUUUUGAUUGUUACCGGAUCCCUGCCUGCUGCUGUUGGUUAACUUCCAUUCUGUCCUCUGGCAAGGGCAACUGUGGCUAUGAGUAAUUUCAGCAGACGUCAGCCAUGCGCCUCUUCACAGCUCUCUGUGUCCACACCAUAAAGGUUUAGCUGAGGUCUAUCCCAGUGUUUGCUGGGCUGGGCCUAAGGAAGUCAGCACCUUCUACUCAUUAGCAGACUUAAGUGUGGCCACCAGCAGACUCAAAGCUCUGAAGACGACUCACUGUCAAACAGGAACCAGGCUGAUAGUGUGGUCCUGGGACAUCCCUGCCUCUCAUUCCUAACAGCAGCCCCCAGCCCACCUCCUGCAUCAUCAGAGGAGAUUUCCACCAGCUUCACCCAU